rnacentral:tRNA from 1 species
ACCGAGAUGGUGAAAUGGUAUACACGCUACUUUGAGGUAGUAGUGCCUUUAAUGAAAUAAGGCGUACGGGUUCAAAUCCCGUUCUCGGUA